rnacentral:rRNA from 1 species
CUACAGGCUUAACACAUGCAAGUCGAGGGGCAGCAUGGUCUUAUCUUGCUAAGGCUGAUGGCGACCGGCGCACGGGUGAGUAACACGUAUCCAACCUGCCGUCUACUCUUGGACAGCCUUCUGAAAGGAAGAUUAAUACAAGAUGGCAUCAUGAGUCCGCAUGUUCACAUGAUUAAAGGUAUUCCGGUAGACGAUGGGGAUGCGUUCCAUUAGAUAGUAGGCGGGGUAACGGCCCACCUAGUCUACGAUGGAUAGGGGUUCUGAGAGGAAGGUCCCCCACAUUGGAACUGAGACACGGUCCAAACUCCUACGGGAGGCAGCAGUGAGGAAUAUUGGUCAAUGGACGAGAGUCUGAACCAGCCAAGUAGCGUGAAGGAUGAAGGUUCUAUGGAUUGUAAACUUCUUUUAUACGGGAAUAAACGAAUCCACGCGUGGAUUUUUGCAUGUACCGUAUGAAUAAGGAUCGGCUAACUCCGUGCCAGCAGCCGCGGUAAUACGGAGGAUCCGAGCGUUAUCCGGAUUUAUUGGGUUUAAAGGGAGCGCAGAUGGGUUGUUAAGUCAGUUGUGAAAGUUUGCGGCUCAACCGUAAAAUUGCAAUUGAUACUGGCAGUCUUGAGUACAGUUGAGGUAGGCGGAAUUCGUGGUGUAGCGGUGAAAUGCUUAGAUAUCACGAAGAACUCCGAUCGCGAAGGCAGCUUACUAACCUGUAACUGACAUUGAUGCUCGAAAGUGUGGGUAUCAAACGGGAUUAGAUACCCUGGUAGUCCACACGGUAAACGGAUGAAAUACUCGCCGUAGGGCGAUAUACAGUCUGCGGCCAAGCGAAAGCAUUAAGUAUUCCACCCUGGGGAGUACGCCGGCAGCGGUGAAACUCAAAGGAAUUGACGGGGGCCCGCACAAGCGGAGGAACAUGUGGUUUAAUUCGAUGAUACGCGAAGAACCUUACCAAGUCUUGACAUCCUCUUGACCGGUCAGUAAUGUGACCUUUUCUUCGGAACAAGAGUGACAGGUGGUGCAUGGUUGUCGUCAGCUCGUGUCGUGAGAUGUUGGGUUAAGUCCCGCAACGAGCGCAACCCUUAUCCUUAGUAGCCAGCAGUUCGGCUGGGCACUCUAGGGAGACUGCCAGGGAUAACCUGGAGGAAGGUGGGGAUGACGUCAAAUCAUCAUGCCCCUUAUGACUUGGGCUACACACGUGCUACAAUGGCGUAAACAAAGUGAAGCGAGAGUGUGAGCUUAAGCAAAUCACAAAAAUAACGUCUCAGUUCGGAUUGUAGUCUGCAACUCGACUACAUGAAGCUGGAAUCGCUAGUAAUCGCAGAUCAGAAUGCUGCGGUGAAUACGUUCCCGGGUCUUGCACU